rfam:Zea mays cultivar B73 chromosome 5, whole genome shotgun sequence.
GUUCCCAGUGAUGGUAUACAUUAACCAUGCUAAUACUGAUGUCCUUUGACUAGUUUACAUGGAAUU